UACAGAGGUGGCAAGCGUUGUUCGGAAUUACUGGGCGUAAAGGGCGCGUAGGCGGCCAUCUAAGUCAGACGUGAAAUCCCCCGGCUUAACCUGGGAACUGCGUCUGAUACUGGAAGGCUCGAGUUUGGGAGAGGGAUGCAGAAUUCCAGGUGUAGCGGUGAAAUGCGUAGAUAUCUGGAGGAAUACCGGUGGCGAAGGCGGCAUCCUGGACCAACACUGACGCUGAGGCGCGAAAGCUAGGGGAGCAAACGGGG
rnacentral:rRNA from 1 species